rnacentral:snRNA from 1 species
AAGUGUUACAGCUCUUUUAGAAUUUGUCUAGCAGGUUUUCUGGUGUUUAUCCGGAAAACCCCC